AGAGUUUGAUCAUGGCUCAGGACGAACGCUGGCGGCGUGCCUAACACAUGCAAGUCGAACGGGGUAGCAAUACCCAGUGGCAAACGGGUGCGUAACACGUGAGGAACUUGUCUAUCGGUGGGGGAUAGCCGGCCCAACGGCCGGGUAAUACCGCGUACGACCUUCGAGGGGCAUCCCUUGAUGAUGAAAGCAGCAAUGCGUCGAUAGAGGGCCUCGCGGCCUAUCAGCUAGUUGGUGAGGUCACGGCUCACCAAGGCAACGACGGGUAGCUGGUCCGAGAGGAUGACCAGCCACAUUGGGACUGAGACACGGCCCAGACACCUACGGGAGGCAGCAGUGGGGAAUCUUGCGCAAUGGGCGAAAGCCUGACGCAGCGACGCCGCGUGUGGGAUGAAGGCCUUCGGGUUGUAAACCACUGUCGGGAGGGACGAAGCUCUGACGGUACCUCCAAAGGAAGCACCGGCUAACUCUGUGCCAGCAGCCGCGGUAAUACAGAGGGUGCGAGCGUUGUCCGGAAUUACUGGGCGUAAAGGGCGCGUAGGCGGCCUGAUAAGUCGGGGGUGAAAUUCAGCGGCUCAACCGCUGGACUGCCUUCGAGACUGUUAGGCUCGAGCACGGUAGAGGCUGGUGGAAUUCCCGGUGUAGCGGUGGAAUGCGUAGAGAUCGGGAAGAACAUCGGUGGCGAAGGCGGCCAGCUGGGCUGUUGCUGACGCUGAUGCGCGACUGCGUGGGGAGCAAACAGGAUUAGAUACUCCUGGUAGUCCACGCCGUAAACGAUGGGCACUAGGCGCCGGGGGGAGCGACCUCUUCGGUGCCGUCGUUAACACAGUAAGUGCUCGUCUGGGGAGUACGGCGCAAGGCUGAAACUCAAAGGAAUUG
rnacentral:rRNA from 1 species